GCUGAGUACCACCCACACGUGGAUCUGCAGCACCCACUGCAGCCAAGAGCCGAGCACAAACCUGUGAACAACGAGGAAAUGUACAGCACUGCACCUGUACCUCGGCAAGAAAGCUCAGCCCGAGUGUUUUAAUGAAACAGUUGGUAUCACCGGGAGGAGGGGUGAGAAUACUCUGCAGCAGGCAGCCCCUUGCUGGAAAUGUUGACUAGCAGCAGGCAGAGGGGGCUCACGCAGGAUCCCACCAGACACAUCUUUCCAUUUCUGAUGCUGAGCUACCAGAUCUGCUUUUCUGGAUGAUGGCAGCAUAUCCAGCUCUCACGCAGUUUGUCAGAGGUGCAGCACUGGAUCUGUGGCUCUGGUUUGGUAGCUGUGAUGCCUACAGAUAAAUAAUAAGGCUAAACCAGCCCAGGGAGCACGGAAUGCACAGGCUCACACCGGCGUCUUUCAGGCCUUGCAGCAAAGGCUUAUGAGGAGAUAAUCCCAACGUGCCUUCACCGCAUCAGCAGCUGAACUCCUUGCUCCCAGUGGAUCUUGGAGUCGUCUGACAAAAUUAAACAUAUGAUGCUUGAUGUUGCAAAUGCCUUAUUGAAGGCAGUUCCUUAGGAAAAGCAGGGCAGAGAUAGCAUGAAGCCUUCCCUCCAUCAGGAAACUUCUGUGAAGAAAUGACUGGCACGUUGCACAUCUCAUCUUAUUUUUCAAUUAAGAUUUUAUUUUAUGGUCAGAGUGAACAAUUACACGUGCUGACAUUGUUAACUGGAAUGAUCACCCUACAACUUCAGGAUUGCACUUUCAGCUCAGCACUCGGUAUUGCUCUCCAUUUCGCUGUGAAGUGCACAAAAAGUCAUUAUGUCAGGAAAUGUGGAGUUAUAAAGAAAAGGUGAACUUGGGAAUGCACAGGGGUAGCCAUGCUUUGAGGAGCCCUGGCUACCCGCUGAGAUACGGAGGUGAGACUGAUAGACAUAUGCAGGAAUUUAUAGGUAGAUUAAAAUAUCUUCCGUGGCAGCCAGAUGAACCUGGAGAAAGGGUGAUGAAAAUGCUGGCAGGCCACCAACAUGCUGUUGGGAUUCAUUCUGAUGAUAUUAUGAAGCUCGGGGUGCCCAGUGCACCCGUAGCUCAUGGUUGUUGUGCCUUGCCCCUGGGGUCCAGGCAGCCUGCUGCAGGGAUGGGGCACGAAGCACGAGGUGCGUUAUCAGGGUACAGCCCUACACCACAGCAGUUUCCUCAUUUCUUUGAAGUAUUUUGAAUUUUGCAGCUCAGCCACGUCUGCAUGAUAAAAAUGUAGGGUCUGGCUCUGAGCAGCAGUGAAGAUAAGGGCAAAUACCCACACUGCGUUCUUUCAUCUUUAUCUCCCCUACAAAAGUUGCGUGCAUCUAACGGUGAUGUUAAAAUUCAUAAUUCUCUGCUUUCCUCUGAUGGAAAGAUGUUUCAGUAAGUAUAAGCCCUUGGCAAAGUAUCAUUGCAAUAAGUAAAAAAGAAAAAACACACACACAAAAUAAAAACAAAAAUCCCCUUACUCUUAAAUCUUCUUCCAUGUUCCUCAUUCAGGUUUUGUAAUUAGACACUGAGACGUGCUGUAUGUGCGACUUCAUAGUUUGCAUUGCUCUCCUGAAGUUUCCUCCCCACGCAACCCUCCCCGUGUAUCCCAAAUGUCAGUUCCCAUUCUUUGGGUCAGGAACUGCCGGGGCUCACCCCACCAGGAGUUUUUCCAGGUUUGACCCCACCAGGAGUUUUUCUCCACCAGCUCUUCUGUUCAGGUUUCCCUCUCAAUAGCGGAUGACAGCAGCGGGAUGCCAAAUCCUGGAAGAAGCUGCUGAAGUCUUGGGAAAUGGCACACACGCUCUGCACUAUUACUGAUUGCGCUCGAGCUUUUUCCUGCUAGAAGAAAAUCUGGCCCAUCCUGCCUAACACCCAGCUGUUUGAUCUCUGAGGAUGCCUCUCGCUGGUGACUCGUAUGUGUCCUGCAGUUAAUUAGUUUGCACUUGUCUCUGCAUGUCAGCCCCAAAAAUUCCAUGGAUUUGGAAGAAAUUCUUGUUAUAUGAUCCAGAACUUUUGACUGUAGGCUUUCAACUAGGAUAUCAUCUCACCCCACAUUUUAUUCAAGUAGUUCAUACCUGCCAUGCUGGAGCAACCUUUUACU